GUGGGGAAUCUUGCGCAAUGGGCGAAAGCCUGACGCAGCGACGCCGUGUGGGUGAUGAAGGCCUUUGGGUCGUAAAGCCCUGUCAGAGGGGACGAAAUCUUGUCGACCUAAUACGUCGGUGACUUGACGGUACCCUCAGAGGAAGCACCGGCUAACUCCGUGCCAGCAGCCGCGGUAAUACGGAGGGUGCAAGCGUUGUUCGGAAUUACUGGGCGUAAAGCGCGUGUAGGCGGCCUUUUAAGUCUGAUGUGAAAGCCCGAGGCUCACCCUCGGAAGUGCAUUGGAUACUGGGAGGCUGGAGUACCGGAGAGGAGGGUGGAAUUCCUGGUGUAGCGGUGAAAUGCGUAGAUAUCAGGAGGAACACCAGUGGCGAAGGCGGCCCUCUGGACGGAUACUGACGCUGAGACGCGACAGCGUGGGGAGCAAACAGG
rnacentral:rRNA from 1 species